GAUCAACAUUAACACAGCAAAGCAGAUUAGAAGUUGAAUUGGAAUAAGACUAGAGGCAAGGGGUCAAAUUACAAAGGCUUUCAGUAUUUCAGGAAGAUGAUGAUGAUAGUAGCCUAAGAAUUCUGCUUGAGAAUAUUGUGUAGUGUUUGUUUUAUGUUUUUGACAUAUCUUUUGUGAUAACAACCUUAGCUUGAGGUUAUUCUGCACUUAUGGCUCCUCAGACUUAUUUUAUGUGUUUUAAGAGUAUGUAAAAAUAUCUGUCACAAGAGACUCUUUAAGUCACAACUUUCUGUUUUCUUUUUAC
rnacentral:lncRNA from 1 species